UGAACGCUAGCGGGACGCCUAACACAUGCAAGUCAAACGGGUUUUAUUUUGUAGCAAUACAAUAUAAAACUAGUGGCAAACGAGCGAGUAACGCGUACCUAACCUGCCCCGAAGAUGGGAACAACUAUAGAGAUAUAGCUAAUUCCCAAUAUUGUCCGCAUGAUGAAAUCAGUGCGGACCAAAGAUUUAUCGCUUUGGGAGGGGGGUGCGUCCUAUCAUGGUAGUUGGUGAGGUAAUGGCUCACCAAGCCUUUGACGGGUAGCCGGCCUAAGAUGGUGUCCGGCCGCGAUGGAACUGAGAUACGGUCCAUACUCCUACGGGAGGCAGCAGUGGGGAAUCUUGCACAAUGGACGAAAGUCUGAUGCAGCGAUCCCGCGUGGAGGAUGAAGCCCUAUGGGGUGUAAACUCCUUUUCUGGUGGAAGAAGAAUGACGGUACACCAGGAAUAAGAGACGGCUAACUACGU
rnacentral:rRNA from 1 species